UCUGUGUUCUACCUCAGCAACUCAACCGUGUCUUGACCAAGGUUUGGACAAAAUGGCUGCCGUAGCUCCUACGAUCAGAUCCACAUUCAAGACAGGAAAAAAGCAGAACUUGGACAUUAAUAUAAACAGGUGUUACUGGGCAUAUCUUGUGUGCUAGAUACGACACGCAGCGUCUGCAUCACCAUAACAACUCUCUGUGGACCCCAGCCCCAUUUUACAGAGAGGAGAAACAAGGGUGGGCAUGUACCUACCCACGCUCACAGACUGAGCCCCUCACUGAUCACCCUCGGGUGCCUGGACUGAGCAUAUGUUCCUGUCAUACAGAUAAAGACCAUGCGGCAAGGGGCAGAUCCCGCAGCCCCAUUUUACAGAUAAAUCGAGGCACGGAGAUGCAUUCCUCAAAGCAAUAGCUGCAGAAUGUGAGCAGCUCAGGAUGUGAACCGAAGCUUUGUCAGCUCCUACCUGUGACGAUAUUUCUAGGGACUUGAAGGGUUCUGGAAAUUUGAGAAGACUUUGCCAUCAAACUCAACCUAUUCUUAGCUUCAAAAAAUAAAAUGUGAAUGAGCACAGGAGCUGGGACCCUAAAUUGCCAUCAUAUAUUGGGAAUUUCCUGUUUCUCAGAACAGAGAAUUACACUCCUGCUCCAAUUCAUGCUCCUUACAACCCUCGUAGGAGGGGGGACUUCACCCCACUUCACUGGUGAGGAACACGAGCGUCAGAGAGAGUGAGCCAGCCCACACAUGGUGUGACAAGGAGCCAAGACCGGGCUAGUUUGCUUUUUCAGAGGGGCCUCCGGGGAGCCUUGAGAUACCCCUUCAAACCAUUCCUCUCGCCUGGAGAAAGCUAGAGGGAGCUGGUCUUUCCAUGAUAGCAGGCAAAGAACUUAAUAAAA